CAAGCCAUCAUCUGUAUAGAGAGCGUCCAUGGCAUCAGAGGGAUGAGAUGAUCGUAUUUAUCGACACACAUUCAACGAACUACGGGCACAUCAGAGGUGAGCCGCUGCAGCGUAUCUGUAAACACUGCUCUCAGCACGCCGCUUUUAUGAGGACAGGACCACAUCCAAGAUGGCGGGCGAGUCACCGGUCUGCAUGAGUUUACAUUGGUCUGCAGACGGCGAGAAGUCAUCACGUCGCUUUCCCGAGCCCCUGCUGCGUCAAAAGUCACCCGCCAGCAUAAAAAGGUACAUAAGGAAGAGGGGGUGAAAGCGAGGAUUGAUGGAGAGAGGCAUCGAGGAACAUCUCCCGUCAUAAAGCACGGCCGACGAAAGAACGCCCCGAGUGUCAGAUUCAACUUUGAAUGUAUAGCCAUGACUCACACACUUUUAUUCACUUCCAUCAUGGGAGUGUCGAUUGCAAUCAUGGAGCUAUCUGAGAGGCGUGAUUGACGGGGUGGAGUCACAGGCCUUGUGGUGGGAGGUGGAAUGAGCGGUACGAAGGAGCCGGUCACUCAAAUCAGCUGCCAUCCCAUAAGAAGUGUGAUCUUCUCCGACAGAGAGUCAA